GCUUUAUAUAAAAUGUAAUCAACAAUUUGCUUUAAGCUUCUUCGACUUAGUUUUGCUUUUCCUUUCCUUUAAGUUAGUUAUCACUGUUGGGGGGUGAUAGGAGGAGGGUGGAUUAUUCUAUAAUUUUAUUACAAGGAUCAAGACACGCAUUUUCCUAAAGAACUGAAACAACCCUUUUCUAUUUAGUUUUCUAUUUAAAGAAGUACCUCUAAAAUCCAAUUUUCGGAUCUAUGAACACUGCACUAACAAGUGCCUUUACCACUGUAAUUCAAAAUGUACAAGCUAUUGAGGAAGGAGGGGAAGUUGAAAAAUUUGGUUUUGGUUUCGAAUCCCUUUGGCAGUUGGAAUAUCAUGUACACGAAUUACGCACCAAAAGCUCAUUACUCUAAAAUAUAAAAUUACUCUAAAAUAUAUAAAAUAUAUUACUCCUCCCUCCAGCCCCUUCACAAUCGAAAGAAACGACUACUGGACCCAUGACAACUUGGGCGUUGUAGGUUCAAUCUGAUUUCUCAAACCUCUUGACUAAACGCACUAGCGUUCAAUAUUUAAUUUUAAUGUGUGCGCACCAACCUUCCCCAAGCCAGCUGAGCUCCGUGAGGGCGGGGACUUGGAUUAACUCAAGUCAGCUGCUUACAAAAUGCCAAGCAAGAUGCUCAACACAGCAGGCUCACGAUAAAGACAAGUACGAAGGGUUUCUCUGCAAUCACUAAUACUAAAUUUUGAUCUAAACAAAAUCAGCCUCUUUAUAAUACCAGUUCAGGUUCCUACUCACCUUGUACCUACGCAACGAACUCCAAACUUUUUUGGAAAUUUACUCACCCGCGCUCUACAGAGAAACUAGGAAGAAACCCGACCGGCGCGCACGUGACGUCACACGCACGCUGGCCGCUCAGCCUCACGCAUGCGUACGCGGUCGGCAGGGAUAUACUGCGGGUCACUCCCGCGCCCGCGGAGGAUAAACUGGGUGACGGUGCCCAGGCCUCCGUGCCCUUGGAAGUUUCACGGACUACGUAGAGGGAAGCAUUCAGUGUUACACCAUCUUUCCUUUUCCCUCCCAACCCUGUAUGUACCUGUGCAUAGAGCAGCCGGGCAAGAGUCUGAGCUCAGGAGCUGUCCAUUUCAGGAAAACUAUGUUCCAAAUAAUUGAAAGUUCCUAAAGGAUAAGAAGAUGCCAUUACAAGUAGAAAGAUCAGCAUAUCAUAAAGACUGAAGAACAAUACAAAGAAACUGAGAUUACAGAGCAUCAUGGCCGAGUAAGCUAUCCCAGUGAUCUCUCCUCUCCACGAUACAAUGAAAAAACAUUCAUACUCCAACAGAGGACAUCCACACAACACAAAAGACAUCUGAGACACCCAUGCAGCCAGAUGUCAGAAGGUGGAGAGACUGGAGACCCCUCGGAGGAGGUGGAACUGGGUAAGAGAAAACAUCUCUCCCUCUUCAAAAGACUGUGAUCUGGGACUGCCCAUAGCCUCCAAGAUGGAAGGAAAGGGGGAGGGGAUGCCUGUUCUUGGGAACAUCAAAGAUCACCAAGGUCACUCACAGCCUAGGGGAAAGCCCCUUAUCAAGGUGAAAGCUAUCAUGGAGGUGACUUCAUCAACCAACACCCCAGGAGAACUGAUAGCCAGGGCAGAGUGAGUAAGCCCCCCAGAGCACACAGAAGAAAGUGCACCUCACCCCCAACUGCCCAGCACUGGCUCCAGUGUCUAGAAUCCUAGCGGAACUUAGAGGGCUCAGAAUAUGUGGCUCUUGACCCCCACCCAGUGGUUAUAGGUAGUAACUGAGACCAAAUAAUACCACACUGCAAAAGCACAAAGCCACGUCCUAUAGCAGUAACAAAAAUUAUAUUAAAUCUCCAGACCAGAGAGAAAAUGACAAGUAACCAGAAAUCUGUGCUGAAGACACAGAAAUAUGUAAUCUAAAUGACAGAGAAUUCAAAAUAGCUAUCAUCAAAAAACUCAACGAGUUAAAAGAGAAUGUAGAGAAACAAUUCAAUGAGUUCAGGAGCUACUUCACAAAGGAGAUUGAAGUUAUAAAGAAGA
rnacentral:lncRNA from 1 species